UGGACCUCAGAUCAGGCAAGAUUACCCGCUGAGUUUAAGCAUAUCACUAAGCGGAGGAAAAGAAACUAACUAGGAUUUCCCUA
rnacentral:rRNA from 2 species